GAUGACCUGAUUUUGAUCCCCAGACUCCAAAAAUGAAGGCAGAACGGACUCCCUCAAGUUGUCCUCUGACCGCCAGACUUCCACCGCGGUGUGUAUGGCCCCCACAAAAAGACACACAAAUAAAUAGCACGAAAAGGAAGUAUCCGUGGUGAAGCUAUGGCCAGGUCAGAGGAAGGACUACAAGAUGAGAGCAUGUCCGCAUGCCUGGGGAAGACCAACAGUGACCCAAAUAAGAUGAAGGAGCGGGGAUGAAGAUGGAGGUCUAGUGUGCACGAGCUCCAGAAACACACCUACUCCUGCCUUACCAGAAAGCAGGCCCCAGUGCCACACACCGGACCCCAAGCUCACACUACCACGGAUCACCAGCUCCUGCCUCGGGGCCUUGUUCUCCGGGUGCACAGGUCUCCUUCUGGCUCACGGUGCUGUACUCUCGUUUCUACUGAUCCCUAUUCCCAUGCUGUGCCUAUCCCAGGCACCCCUGCCUGGCCUGCUUGCCUGGCACGUGCUCUUUUUAGUGCUCGUUUCCCUUGUUUAUUUGACUGUUGGUUCAUUUCCUGGCUAGCCUCCCUGGAGCCUGCUCAGACUGCCCUUCGACUUCACCUGUGCUGCUGAGACCAGAGGCCUAGACUAUGGUUUGUGCAGGGCACUCAGCUGCAUUAGGACAGUAUUUAGCACAUAGUAGGCACACAAUAGGUAGUUGUACAAAGAAGGAAGAAAGUGAGAAGUUUGUUCUACUUGUUCUUUCCUCUCUCCUUCCAGGAAAGCUUACACAAAUAAGCAACAUGUUUUUGAGAGUGUGGAAUCCAGGCGUACAUAAUUAACAGCCAGAGAAGGGAGAGGAAUAUGUCUUUCCACGGGCAAUUUGCGCGCUGCGGUUGGUUUUUUUUUUUUGUGUGUGUUUUUGUUGUUGUUGUUUGUUUUGUUUUGUUUUUGCUUGUACUGCUACAAAAAGAAAUGGCCCUCAAGCAUCCCCGUGUCCCUGCUCUUUAAGGGUACACCAGCACCCUUCAAAGAGAGGGCAAACUGAGUGACAGUGUCUGAUAGAUGUGGAGCCCUGUUCUCAGCGCCGUCCCAUCUCAGAUUUGUAUUUAACAUUUUCACUCUGUAGACCAGGCUGGCCUCAAACUCACAAAGAUCUGCCUGCCUCUGCCUCCCAAGUGCUGGGAUUUAAGGCGUGCGCCACCACCGACCGGCUUGCAUUUAACAUUUUACAAAAGGAAACUCGAGGCUUCUGAAGCUGUUCCACUUGACUGAGGCCCAAAGUAGAAAGCUGAAAAGUGGACCAGAGUCUGUCACAAUGCCAGCCAGCCUUCUUACAUUUAUGUGUGAGCACCUACCAAGUGAGCACAGACUUGCUGGCUCUCUGUGGCCCUCCCCUUGGAGAGAUUGAAACUGGAUCUGCAGUUGAUAAGCUUAUCAUCAGGACCAGGAAAGAACGAGGCAAGCAAGGUGCCUAGGAUGCAGAAUUCAGAAGGUCCAUCCUUUUUUUUUUUUUUUUUGAGACCAAAGUAACCCAGGUUGGCUUCCAACUCACUGUGUACCUGAGGAUAACCUUAAAUUUCUGAAUCUUCUGCCUUCGCCUCUUAAUUAUUUCUUAUUAUGGGUAUGUGCCACUGAGCCAAGUCUAUGUAAUGCUGGAGCUUGAACCCAGGGCUUUGUGCAUGCCAGGCAAGCACUCUACCAACCGAGCCACACCCCAACCCUAUGAGACAUCACUCUCAAGCACUUGCCCAACUUCAAAGAGUGAUGUCUUUUAGCGUUUUGGGCCAAGCACACCCCCCACUUCCCUCCCUCAUUCUGGCCCUGCUCUUAGCAAGUUGCCUUUGCUAUGGGGUCAUCAGAUAAC